GUCAGGAUGGCCGAGUGGUCUAAGGCGCCAGACUCAAGGAUUUGAUUCCUUCCUCAAAGAAGAGCGUUCUGGUCUCCAUAUGGAGGCGUGGGUUCAAAUCCCACUUCUGACA